UACGUAGGGGGCAAGCGUUAUCCGGAUUUACUGGGUGUAAAGGGUGCGUAGGCGGGCUUUUAAGUCAGCGGUAAAAAUUCGGGGCUCAACCCCGUCCGGCCGUUGAAACUGGGGGUCUUGAGUGGGCGAGAAGAAGGCGGAAUGCGUGGUGUAGCGGUGAAAUGCAUAGAUAUCACGCAGAACCCCGAUUGCGAAGGCAGCCUUCCGGCGCCCUACUGACGCUGAGGCACGAAAGUGCGGGGAUCGAACAGG
rnacentral:rRNA from 1 species